UACCAGCACCCCGAGUGGUCGGGACGAUUAUUGGGCCUAAAGCAUCCGUAGCCGGUCAUGCAAGUCCUCCGUUAAAUCCACCUGCUUAACAGAUGGGCUGCGGAGGAUACUACAAGGCUAGGAGGCGGAAGAGGCAAGCGGUACUCAGUGGGUAGGGGUAAAAUCCUCUGAUCCAUUGAAGACCACCAGUGGCGAAGGCGGCUUGCCAAUACGCGCUCGACGGUGAGGGAUGAAGGCUGGGGGGAGCAAACCGG
rnacentral:rRNA from 1 species